rnacentral:lncRNA from 1 species
CUUAUCAAAAAUGUUGACUGCUGUAUCGCUUGUUUUCCGUUCACACUCACUGUAUAUUUUCUUUAACACGUGCUAUUAGAACUUUUUGUUUACAAAUACAAAGUUUCUGAUUAAGAGUUUUUGUGUGUUUUGACUACUUUAAACACUCAUGACGUGCUCUAGAAUUAUUCACAAGCAGUUUCAACUUCUACUUAAUGAUGGAAAACGGGUUCUUCCAUGAAAAUACUGCAAACAAAAACAUACGAUUUGAAGUUACCGGUGUUUCAUUAGAAAUUUUCUUAGAGUUCUAAUUUUUUUAAGCUCGAAUUUCGUUGCAAGAAGGGGGUGCUUACAAUCUAUACAAGCCCGAUCAUGGUAUGAAUGAAGAUAUCAGUUUAAUAUUUAAAAUCACUUAAAGUUUCGUAGAACUGAACGUUUUAAAUUGUAAUGACCAAGCAAAGAAGUUGUCGGUGCCAUAUAAUUUUACCCUUGUCCGUCAUUCCGUCAUUUUGUCAUUACGUCAUUCCGUCAUUCCGUCAUUCC